UAACAAAAAUUACAAGGACUUUUUUAUAAAAAUGUCGUGGUGGGUUUUCCGAUAGAAGGAAUAGCCUCUUUAUUAUUAGGUAUAGAUAUAGAAGAGCAUGUGGUAUUUUUUUUUAUCCCGUUACAACAUACGGAUCCUUUUGCUAGUCUAUAUAAAUAUUGAUCCAAUCCUUAACCCUAGGCAGACAUUCCCCUAAAAAUUAGCGCCGCCUCCACCCCUUCUCCCAUCUCCCUCGUCAGGAUCCUCCCAGAUCCAAACCAACCAACAGCAGCCACUUGCCUCGUUGUGGACGACCUCACCUCGAUCUCCUCGCCCGACCUCGCCUUUGGCUGUCGCUCGCGCCAGCAGGGAGAGCCCCCAUCCAUGCGUCGUGCCCCGGCCUUCAUGUCCCCAUGCCGCAGCACACUUGAGUCAUCCCCGAGCCCCUCCGGCCACUGCUUCGCCGGCCCUGCCCGCCUUCAGUGAGUCGCUGGAGCAGGCCCGACCGAGCCCCUCCCUACAGCUUGCCGUCUACCGCCUUGCUUCCCAGAUCUGUCUGCCGCGGCCCCGGAUCCGGCGAUCCCCAGCGUCGGCGCCCCGUUCCAGUCUCUCGGAGUCCGUCGCCACCACAUCAGGACCUCCUCCGUUGUCUUUCUUCUGCAGCUAGAUGCAGCAGUGCUGCAUUGAGCACUCGUUCACCCCAACGCGCAUUGACCAGGCCGCGCGUGGGUCACCCUACUGUAGGCAUGUAUCUGCAGGAGGCCCAGCCGAGCGCCUAUGUGGGCGAGUUGGGCCUCGGCUUGGCGCCACCACCGCAAGCCAGUGCCAAGGUAAGGACCAGCUGCUGGCCAGAUCCGCGCCAGGCCUCACAUGGGCCACCAGAAGCUCCAGGGCCCAGCCAGUAAUUCGCCUCGGCCUACUAAGGUAGCACAUGUCGCCCUAUCCAGCGCCCGGGCGCAUAACGUGUUAUAUUGCGCCCUUACACGUUGGCCCAUUUCGAACCAGAUUUGACCCGUUA
rnacentral:lncRNA from 1 species